CGUGGGGUGCGAGCGUUAAUCGGAAUUACUGGGCGUAAAGCGUGCGCAGGCGGUUUGUUAAGAUAGGCGUGAAAUCCCCGGGCUCAACCUGGGAACUGCGCUUAUGACUGGCAAGCUAGAGUACGGCAGAGGGGGUGGAAUUCCACGUGUAGCAGUGAAAUGCGUAGAGAUGUGGAGGAACACCAAUGGCGAAGGCAGCCCCCUGGGUCGAUACUGACGCUCAUGCACGAAAGCGUGGGUAGCAAACAGGAUUAGAUACCCUGGUAGUCCACGCCCUAAACGAUGUCAACUAGGUGUUGGGAGGGUAAAACCUUUUAGUACCGGAGCUAACGCGUGAAGUUGACCGCCUGGGGAGUACGGCCGCAAGGUUA
rnacentral:rRNA from 1 species